ensembl:lincRNA
UGACCCUGGGCACAUUGGCCCUUACAAUUUAAUCUGAACAAUGGAACCAGAGACAUCAGCACUGUCCAGGCUCUCUGAUGAUCUUCAUCCUUCGCCAGCAGCAAUUCAUGAAAUAAAUACAGAGUUUUCUGAGGAAAGUACAAUAUACUCAGACCUCAAAGUUCAUUGUUCUUCAAAUAUCCAGAACGGAAAAAUAACUAAAACUUCGAAAACAAAAGUGUCUCCGUGGUGCAUUGCUGCUGUGAUAUUUGCCUUCCUUUAUAUAAUCACUCUGGUAAUAGUUGCAGCUAUGGUAGCUAAGAUUCAUUGUCUUGAGGAGAUCCUGCACGAGGCAGCCAUUGAGACUGCACAUUGCAAUAUAAUAUCACAAAACAAAGGUUGA